ACCCCUCUCUCCCUUCGCUGACUCUCUUUUCGGACUCAGCCCACCUGCACCCUGGUGAAAUAAACAGCUUUAUUGCUCACACAAAGCCUGUUUGGUGGUCUCUUCACACGGACGUGAGUGAAAUUUGGUGCCAUGACUUGGAUCAGAGGACAUCCUUUGGGAGAUCAGUCCCUUGGCCUCCUGCUCUUUGCUCCAUGAGAAAGAUCCACCUACGACCUCUGGUCCUCAGACCAACCAGCCCAAGGAACAUCUCACCAAUUUUAAAUCCGGAAGUUCAAGCUGCUAGAUGGACAGGUCAAAUGAAGAAACAGAUGCCUGACCACCACUAAGCUGUAAUUGAUAUUGCAGUUGAGGUACAAGAUGUGAAUCUAAAAGAAAUCACCUUGGAUGUCUAGCCCCAUCCUCAAAUAAUUUCAGCUCGGCUGUCUGAUGACUACAGCCAUACAAGAAACCCCAACAGCCAACAUAUGGAAACAACCUAAAUGUCUGUCGACAGGUGAAUGAAUAAAGAAAAUGUGGUAUAUACAUACAGCAGAAUAUUGUUCAGUCUUAAAAAAGAAAGAAACCUUACAAUAUGCAGCAUCACGAAUGAACAUGGAGGACAUUAUGCUAAAUGAAAUAAGCCAGUCACAGAAGGAACAGACACUGCCUGAUUCCAGUCGUAGGAGAUAACUAGUAUUGUCAAAUUCAUAAAAUUGACAAUCGAAUGGUGGUUGCUAGUGGGUGGGCAGAGGGGAAGACGAGUUAUUGUUCAAUGUGUAUAAAGUUUUAAUUAUGCAAGAUGAGUAAGUUCUAGCGAUCUAUUGUACAACUUUGUGCCUAUAGUUAACAAUGAUGUAUUGUGGAUGUAAAAAUUUGUUAAAGAGGAUACAUCUCAUAUUGUUUUCUUACCACAGUAAAAAAAAGAAACAAAUAAACAAACAAGAAUAUAUAUAUUACUGAAGACUGUAUGUCUGAUGAUUAAAAAUUAAGAAUAUACUCAAUACCACAUAAUUUACAUGAUAGAUACAAAAGGUGUUGGCAACAAAGCAUGUCUGUCAAAUUG